rnacentral:tRNA from 1 species
GGGGCCAUAGCUCAGUUGGGAGAGCGCUACACUGGCAGUGUAGAGGUCGGCGGUUCGAACCCGCCUGGCUCCACCA